rnacentral:rRNA from 1 species
AUGUCAAUUAUGGGUGUUGGCUCCAACAAUUCGCAUUGGUCUCAAACCAAUGACAUGCAUUUCGAUGACUAUGAGUUCGAGGUGGACGAGGAUGGUGAGGGCAUUGUCGACGCAUCGAAAGGAAGAGGAGGCAACUACACCAACGAAGAAGACGUCUUGCUAUGCAAUACUUGGUUGCAAGUGUCGAGGGAUCCAUCCGUUGGAGGUGACCAAAGUAGAGAUGCUUAUUGGACCAUGAAGGAGGACUUUGAUCUACACAACAAGAGUGGAAUUGACCGCUCUGCCCGAUUUCUUCGCUCCCGGUGGUCGACAAUCAACAAAGAUUGUCAAAAGUGGGCGGCUGCACAAAAGGCGGUUGACAAGUUGAACCUAAGUGGCACUAAUGAUGAAGAUAGGGUAAGUGCCAUUUCAUCCAUGUUCAUCAUGCUUGUUGUUGGUGUUUGUAGUGCUAACUUGUUCAAAGGAAAGGAGAAGAAGAGAAAGAGAGGGAAGAUCAAGAAAGGAAGACUAUUUACCUUGCCUCAUUGCUAUGAAGCAUUGAAGGAUGAUGAGAAAUGGAAGAAGCGUGAUGAUAUGGAUGAUUUGGAUAUGAGCAAAAAACGCAAGCGAACAAUUGAUGUGGAGGAUGAUGAGGAGGAGGCAUCAAGUGAUGACGGCAAGAGAAGCCCCACACCGAAGUCGGUUUCAUACUCGAAGCCAAAACGACCGGAUGGGUGCAAGAAAGACGCAAAACGAAAGAAGAAGAGCUCAAGAAUGCUAUGGAAGCUAUUGUGA